UUUGAUUGAUGAACAUUAAAAAUGGGGCAUGUAUUUUCAUGACUGCGUCUUUUAGUUGGAAAUCAGGUUGUUUUUGUUCUGUUUAGGUCAAUCGGCCGAGUGGACCACCCUAUUCAUUGAACUGUUCUGGAUUGGCCGAAUCAGUAAUUCAACAAAUAUUUUUAAAAAUUGCAAAUGUAGAUCGAUAUCAUCCAUUUAAAAUCAUCAUAUAAUC
rnacentral:lncRNA from 1 species